AGUGAACGCUGGUGGUAGGCCUAACACAUGCAAGUCGAACGGCAGCACAGUAAUAGCUUGCUCUUACGGUUGGCGAGUGGCGGACGAGUGAGGAAUACAUCGGAAUCUACUUUUUCGUGGGGGAUAACGUAGGGAAACUUACGCUAAUACCGCAUACGACCUACGGGUGAAAGCAGGGGAGCUUCGGACCUUGCGCGAUUGAAUGAGCCGAUGUCGGAUUAGCUAGUUGGCGGGGUAAAGGCCCACCAAGGCGACGAUCCGUAGCUGGUCUGAGAGGAUGAACAGCGACACUGGAACUGAGACACGGUCCAGACUCCUACGGGAGGCAGCAGUGGGGAAUAUUGGACAAUGGGCGCAAGCUUGAUCCAGCCAUACAGCGUGGGUGAAGAAGGCCUUCGGGUUGUAAAGCCCUUUUGUUGGGAAAGAAAAGCAGCAGGUUAAUACCCCGCUGUUCUGACGGUACCCAAAGAAUAAGCACCGGCUAACUUCGUG
rnacentral:rRNA from 1 species